rnacentral:lncRNA from 1 species
AAUAUUCGAAUUAGGGUUUUCUUCUGUAAAAUCCAUGGAUUUUCAUUCGAUUGCUUCAAUCUAACAUAUAUCCACCAGCUUGAAACUUCUCUCGCUGUUCAACUCUGCGCUCCUAUUUCAACACGAGCAAAUUGCAGCAAGAACACGAUGGUAAAAUUUUGACUAAGGCUGCUACAUGUAAGAGGACAGACUAGCAGAAACAUAUACUGAAUAGAAGAAUUUCCCCAGCAUGAACCAUUUUGUAGUCGUUUUGAUAUCGAUGGUGUCCGUGCAACCUGUGCAAAAACGACAAUGGGUCUUACUGAGGCCGGUGUAAUAAUGCUCUUGGAAAGCUUUGAAUAACAAGAAGAAAUGCAGAUAAUCUAGAAGAUAAGACAUCAACCACAGAACUUGAAAGAGUGAUGACAGACUUUUCACUUCCUGCUUUAGACAGUUCACAGAGAAUAUGUUGCCGUUAUAUCUCAUAACUGUAAAAAUGAUAUUAAAUCUUUUAUUUCUUUCGAAUAAUUUAUGAUUCAAUCAUUCCGUUUGAGUAUUUAAGCAUGUUACAUUUUGAAAAUCAGUAAACUAUUGGUUUUACUUUACAUACAUAAUGGUUCUGCCAUAGAACCAUAUAUUUAAGUGCUUACAUGAGCUUUUAAACGGUAUCCCACUGUCAGAAUAUUUCCUCUAUAUAAAGAGAGAGAUAGAUCCACAUGCUAUAAAAUCGUAGUACCAGUGCAGUAAGUAUCAUUUAUUACCUUUUCCUAUUUCAUCAUCUAUUGCUACUUAUGCUCAACCAAACUGUUCAAUCAAUCAACCUCAAGCUUCCUCCACG